CUUGUAUCAGAUAUUAACUUUAUCAAAUAAUGUACGAACUGUGGUUGUGACUUGGUUAAUUUAAACUAGGAUUGUUUGAGCACAUAAAGCUUCUUGAUAAACAAUACAAUGAAAAAAAAAUAGUAGUUCAUGUUUCACAUUUUGCCCCAAAAAAGUAACAAAUCUUUUAUAUUUACCAAUCGCAUUUGGUGACCUAUCUGUGCAAAUAGAUAUCAGCUUAUCUAAAUUGAUUUCCUUCUUUUUCCAAAAUUCUGUAAUGGCAGCGUAAAUAUCUUCUCCUCGAGUUUGACUUUUGAAUAGUAGUAAACCUAAUAAUUCUUCAUGAAUACGUGUAGACGAAACAUACCGUCCCAUUAAAAUGAGUCGAUGUUUUCAACGUCACAUGAUUCAUCACAAGUUAAGAAAAAUGCAGGUGAUAACUUAAAAUCGGAAAACUGUUGUUCUAUGACAUUUUGGGCAAUUCUAAAAGCUCUAUC